UAUUAAUUACACAUCCUCCCCCCCCCGGGGCGUUCCUUGUAACUUUACCCCAUCCAGAACCCCAUCAGACCUCAGAUCAGACGGAAAAGAAUAUUAUCUUUAUUUAAGAACUAUCUUACUUCACUUCAGGGCAAAA